rnacentral:misc_RNA from 1 species
UUGUAUGAGCUGUUGAACCUACAAAGGCAAGCCACUUGUAUUGUAUUGUAUGUUUAAACAAAAAAAGACUUCAGGUACAUAACAAAACAAGGAUUUUGAUCCCUUCCCAAAUAGUGCAGGUUCAUUCUUCAACUAUUAAGGGUCCUUGGAUCACCCUGUGGCUUCAAGUAGCAAAAGAUAAAACCAUAUAACAUUUCUCUAGGCUUUUUCAGUGGGAUGUUAUUCGACGUCCCGAAAAAUUAGAUUCCUACUGGCUAAAACUUUGAAAAGUCAGCAUUGUUAUCUAGGAAUCUCGGAUUAAAGCCACAAUUAAAUGCAACUAGACCUGAAACAAACUCCUAAGAAAAAAGAGUUUUUUAGUACAGAAGUUCUCAUCACACUACAAUACAAGAUAACCUGAUCUUUCAGAAUUUUUUCACUAAGGCUGUUUUAGUCAAGCUACACUAUAGCCAGACUUACCCACCAAUACAAAAAAGAGAAACUUCUGUCAAAAUU